GAUCCUGGCUCAGAUUGAACGCUAGCGGCAUGCUUUACACAUGCAAGUCGAACGGCAGCGCGGGGCAACCUGGCGGCGAGUGGCGAACGGGUGAGUAAUACAUCGGAACGUGCCCUGUGAUGGGGGAUAACUACGCGAAAGCGUGGCUAAUACCGCAUACGACCUACGGGUGAAAGUGGGGGAUCGCAAGACCUCAUGUCAUAGGAGCGGCCGAUGGCGGAUUAGCUAGUUGGUGAGGUAAAGGCUUACCAAGGCGACGAUCCGUAGCUGGUCUGAGAGGACGACCAGCCACACUGGGACUGAGACACGGCCCAGACUCCUACGGGAGGCAGCAGUGGGGAAUCUUGGACAAUGGGGGCAACCCUGAUCCAGCAAUGCCGCGUGUGGGAUGAAGGCCUUCGGGUUGUAAACCACUUUUGGCGGGGGCGAAAUAUCGAGUGCUAAUACCAUUCGGUGAUGACGGUACCCGCAGAAUAAGCACCGGCUAACUACGUGCCAGCAGCCGCGGUAAUACGUAUGGUGCGAGCGUUAAUCGGAAUUACUGGGCGUAAAGCGUGCGCAGGCGGUUUGGUAAGACAGGUGUGAAAUUCCCGGGCUCAACCUGGGGACUGCAUUUGUGACUGCCUAACUAGAGUGCGGCAGAGGGGAGUGGAAUUCCGCGUGUAGCAGUGAAAUGCGUAGAUAUGCGGAGGAACACCGAUGGCGAAGCAACUCCCUGGGCCUGCACUGACGCUCAUGCACGAAAGCGUGGGGAGCAAACAGGAUAGAUACCCUGGUAGUCCACGCCCUAACGAUGUCAACUAGUUGUU
rnacentral:rRNA from 1 species